AGUAAAUUGGUUAAGUUAGAAAGGGCGCACGGUGGAUGCCUUGGCACUAGGAGCCGAAGAAGGACGGGACUAACACCGAUAUGCUUUGGGGAGCUGUACGUAAGCGUUGAUCCAGAGAUUUCCGAAUGGGGGAACCCACUAUCUUUAGUCGGAUAGUAUCCUUACGUGAAUACAUAGCGUAAGGAAGGCAGACCCAGGGAACUGAAACAUCUAAGUACCUGGAGGAAGAGAAAGAAAAAUCGAUUUCCUGAGUAGCGGCGAGCGAAACGGAAAGAGCCCAAACCAAGAAGCUUGCUUCUUGGGGUUGUAGGACACUCUAUACGGAGUUACAAAGGAAAGUUAUAAAUGAAGCGGUCUGGAAAGGCCCGCCAAAGACGGUAACAGCCCGGUAGUUGAAAUGGCUUUCCCUCC
rnacentral:rRNA from 1 species